GGGGGGGGGGGGGGUAUUUACCCGUUUUGACAUAUAGAACCCUUCUUCCCACUCAAUUUCUGAUACUGCCACUUCUAUUAAUCUAUAUUCCUCCUACCUACAACCUUGUCUCUGUGUGUUUUGUAUCUUUGAGUUUUAUAGUUUCCAAAUAUGAGUGAUCCCAAUUACGCUUAUCCUUACCCUGCUCAAGGUAGUGUACUCUUCUGCUUUUUCCCUUAGAUUUUACACUGUACAAAGUUGUAAACUUUUCACUUUCUACAUUACUGCUAAAGAAUUUUAUUUUAUUUUUAAAAGAAACCUGCUUCAUCUUUUUCACAUUUUAAGCUUUUAACAUUUUCUUUUUUUUUUCUUUCUUCUCCCUUGCUAUGUUUCAUGAUCAUGGGUUUUUCUUUUGGUUUCUUGUUUUUAAUUAAUGUGAAUAUUUUGGGGGUUUUAUUUGUUGAUUGAUGUAUGAAACUUUUAGGUUAUUAUCAACGUCCCCCAGUGAUGGCACCACCACAGUAUGCUGCUCCACCUCCAAGGAGAGAACCUGGUUUCCUUGAGGGCUGGUAUGUGUGUAUAUAUUUCUAUUGCUCAUAAUUCAAUACUUCAAUUUAAAAAGAAUAUGAAUUUAUGAUAUGUUUUAAUUUAAUUCAAUCUUUGGUUUUGAAUUUGUUUGCAGUCUUGCGGCUUUGUGUUGCUGCUGUCUAAUUGAUGAGUGCUGCUGUGAUCCUUCCAUCAUCUUUGUGAGCUGAUCAUCUCUCUAAUGCACCCCCAUGGAGAAAAUAUUUUAAUAAUUUAUAAAUAUCAGUGGUGUUUAUUUUAUUUUGUGGUUUGGGCUUCUGGUAUGUUCUUGAAGAUGUUGAUGUGUCUUUAUCCCUGUAAUUCUCUAUUUAGUCUUUGACAAUUUUUUCUUCAUUUAAAUAUGAGUGUUUUCUAAAAAUUCCUUUUUCA
rnacentral:lncRNA from 1 species